GGUCCGGUGGCCGAGGCGACAGCUGUGCCGGUCUUCACACGGGGCAGGGCAUGGGUUCAAAUCCCAUCCAGACCG
rnacentral:tRNA from 1 species